rnacentral:misc_RNA from 1 species
GAUGAAGAACGCAGCGAAAUGCGAUAAGUCAUGUGAAUUGCAGAAUUCAGUGAACCAUCGAAUCUUUGAACGCACAUUGCGCCCGGCAGUAAUCUGCCGGGCAUGCCUGUCCGAGCGUCAUUUCUGCCCUCGAGCGAGUCCAGCAUCUAGGUGCUGGGCCCGCCCGGCGUUGGGGCACUACGGGAAGCCCUGUGCUGUCCCCCGUAGGCCCCGAAAUGAAGUGGCGGUCCUGCCGCGGCGCCCCCUGCGUAGUAUAACAGCUCGCUUCGGGACCCGGUGGAGGCCUGCCGUCAAACCUUACUCUCUAAGUUUGACCUCGGAUCAGGUAGGGUUACCCGCUGAACUUAAGCAUAUCAAUAAGCGGAGGA